CCAUAACCUCUGAUUCAGUACCAGCAUUUUAUUUAGUCUACCUCAAUACAAAAAGAAAGCAGCCCGAUCCUCCUUCUCCUACAGAGCACCGCAAUUAUGGAACGACCUCCCGCACACUUUAAAAUCUUCCCCAGGCCUAAAGUCCUUUAAUAGAUCCCUCUCUACACACUUCAAAACAGAAUGCACGUGUCAUGGUUAAUUAUAUAUUUCCUGUCUGUUCUAG